GAUUAACGCUGGCGGCGUGCAUAACACAUGCAAGUCGAACGAUGAAACUUAAAUGAUUUCUUCGGAAUGAACUUAAGUGGAUUAGUGGCGGACGGGUGAGUAACGCGUGAGUAACCUGCCUUACACAAGGGGAUAGCCGUUGGAAACGACGAAUAAUACCCUAUGAAACUAUCACUUCGCAUGAAGCGAUAGUCAAAGUGUUAGCGGUGUAAGAUGGACUUGCGUCUGAUUAGCUAGUUGGUGAGAAAAAAGCCCACCAAGGCAACGAUCAGUAGCCGGCUUGAGAGAGUGUACGGCAACAUUGGGACUGAGACACGGCCCAGACUCCUACGGGAGGCAGCAGUGGGGAAUUUUGCACAAUGGGGGAAACCCUGAUGCAGCGACGCCGCGUGAUUUAGAAGGCCUUCGGGUUGUAAAAAUCUUUUGUAUAGGAAGAAAAUGACAGUACUAUACGAAUAAGGUCCGGCUAAUUACGUG
rnacentral:rRNA from 1 species